rnacentral:rRNA from 1 species
UACAGAGGUCCCAAGCGUUGUUCGGAUUCACUGGGAGUAAAGGGGGCGUAGGCGGUUGGGUAAGUCUGACGUGAAAUCUUCAAGCUUAACUUGGAAACUGCGUCGGAUACUAUUCGGCUAGAGGAAUGGAGGGGAGACUGGAAUACUUGGUGUAGCAGUGAAAUGCGUAGAUAUCAAGUGGAACACCAGUGGCGAAGGCGAGUCUCUGGACAUUUCCUGACGCUGAGGCACGAAAGCCAGGGGAGCAAACGGG